UUGUAUCUGAAAUCAAGCAGGAUAACCCGCUGAACUUAAGCAUAUCACUAAGCGGAGGAAAAGAAAUUAACUAAGAUUGCCUCAGUAACGGCGAGUGAAGCGGCAAAAGCCCAAACUGGAAAUCUUCACACUGCGUGUGACGAAUUGUAAUCUACAGGUGAGACACUCAACGAGUGGUGACGCAGAAGUGACCUAGAAUGGUCUGCCAGAGAGGGUGACAGCCCCGUAUGUGGUGUCACUGCUCAACGAGUGCUUGCCGAAGAGUCGGGUUGUUUUGAAUUGCAGCCCUAAGUGGGGGAUAGACUUCCUCUAAGGCUAAAUACAUAUGGGAAACCGAUAGCGAACAAGUACUGUGAAGGAAAGAUGMAAAGAACUUUGAAAAGAGAGUCAAAAGACUUGAAAUCGUUGAGAAGGAAGCGGUAGAAAUUUAUUCUUCUGCGGAGGACAAAGGUCGUCGCCUAACCAUUGGAGCUUGUCAGCACUUAAUAAGGCUGCUGGAACCACCUGGGGAAGCGAUUGCUGGGUCCUUCGUAGUGAGGCAAAAUGAGGUUCAACUUCCGCAAAAACUUGGUAUAUCUGGGCUGGUUCGCCAGUCAAUCUACCUUUGUUGGUGGG
rnacentral:rRNA from 1 species